rnacentral:rRNA from 1 species
GAUAGGUGGGAGGCUUUGAAGCGUGGACGCCAGUCUGCGUGGAGCCAACCUUGAAAUACCACCCUUUAAUGGCUGGUGUUCUAACGUAGACCCGUUACCCGGGUUGCGGACAGUGUCUGGUGGGUAGUUUGACUGGGGCGGUCUCCUCCCAAAGAGUAACGGAGGAGCACGAAGGUUGGCUAAUCCUGGUCGGACAUCAGGAGGUUAGUGCAAUGGCAUAAGCCAGCUUGACUGCGAGCGUGACGGCGCGAGCAGGUGCGAAAGCAGGUCAUAGUGAUCCGGUGGUUCUGAAUGGAAGGGCCAUCGCUCAACGGAUAAAAGGUACUCCGGGGAUAACAGGCUGAUACCGCCCAAGAGUUCAUAUCGACGGCGGUGUUUGGCACCUCGAUGUCGGCUCAUCACAUCCUGGGGCUGAAGUAGGUCCCAAGGGUAUGGCUGUUCGCCAUUUAAAGUGGUACGCGAGCUGGGUUUAGAACGUCGUGAGACAGUUCGGUCCCUAUCUGCCGUGGGCGCUGGAGAAUUGAGGGGGGCUGCUCCUAGUACGAGAGGACCGGAGUGGACGCAUCACUGGUGUUCGGGUUGUCAUGCCAAUGGCACUGCCCGGUAGCUAAAUGCGGAAGAGAUAAGUGCUGAAAGCAUCUAAGCACGAAACUUGCCCCGAGAUGAGUUCUCCCUGAGAC